ACUGUGAAAAUAUAUAUGAAAUCAUCAGAGUGAGAUACUCGGCCAAAAAAUUCUAUUAAAUUUGAACUUCAUGACCUUAACAAUCAGGCAGCUAGGCUGCUAGGCUGCUAAGCAACUAGACUACGGCUUAUGGACAUUGACCAAGCAUUUACGAAGCAUUCAAUUUGGUUGAGAGAGAGAGAGAGAGAGAGAGAGAGAGAGAGAGAGAGAGAGAGAGAGAGAGAGAGAGAGAGAGAGAGAGAGCUAACUGUACAAUGAAUAAACGAAUGAAGUUUGCACAGUGAAUAAUUACCUAUGCAAAACUACAAAUAAAACGAUGAUAUAUGUAGAUUUUACAACUUCGAUCACUACAUAUUGUACGUACUGAUUAAUUAGUUGCAUGCAGAUGGACUAAUUCGCGCUCAUGGAAGAAAUAUUUCCUCCAAUUCGCUGAACGACGGUCUCAAUCUUCCUGACCGUAGCCAAGGUCUCCCUGAGAUCCCUCGUCUUUUGCAGCUCAAGUACAUGCAAGACAGUGUGAAGCGAUUUGUCCAGUUGAUCAAGCCGGUUGGUGUAUCUGUAUUUUUUUAAUAAACUCCAGGCACUAACCUUGGAGCACUUGCGAACCAAGUCUUCCCCGUCCUCCAGCUGCGACUUUAAAUCCUGCAAUUCCUCCAUUGGUUGAUUCAGCACCUUAUUGUAUUCUGCUAUCUCGGAGAUCACUGGUUUCAAGCACUCGAGCGUGAGUUUCAUAUCUCUGACGUAGUCCUUGAACAUCAUCAUCUUCUCCAUCAUCACUUGUAUAACGCUGUGUCGAGCAAUUACGAUUAGAACAGUAAGUUCUUGGAGCUAGCUAGCUAAUCGAGAAAGGAAGAAAUUAGUAGAAUUGGAGUGACGGGUGAGAGAUAUGGUUCAGGCCUUCAGCAAUGUACUUAUAUAGUAGCUAGGCGAACCUUCAAAGAAUAUUCUAAAGUCGAAAUUACGUCGUCAAUUGUAGAGUCAACUCUUCGUCAAGCGUGUCUUGACUGCUAAAGUGCCACUGUGCCAGAGUGGAGUUUCGAUAUGCUGUGGUUGGGUGGGCUCUUUCGGAGUAACUUGCAGCCACGUGGGUGCAUGGAAACUUCCAACAGAGUGAACAAACACAACAUGGAACUUGCGCGUCUAUUUCGGUUCAACGGCUACCUCCCUUUUUGUUGUUGUUGGAUUCCUUCAACGGCUACCUGCAAAUUGGUCACUCUCCAAUCGAAUAUAAACCCUAAUUAGGCUACAUAUCGAUCCCCCUUGAUUUCAAUAAAGAAAAAAAGAAUUUUCUAUUUCUUUUUUUAACACCCGAAGCGUACGUUAACAUGCACCCGAAAUCCCACAUGACCGCAACUAGCUAGAGCAUGUUCUAAUUGUCUUCGGGGUUGAACUGAACAAUUCCUCCUCCAUCGAUCCCUUUCACGACUGGGCAAACUGAACGAGUUACUUAUAUACAGGAAUCCCAAGCAUAUAUUUGACUAUUGAAAAUAACAUUGCAAACAAUGUUGCAGCUUGGUAGAAAACAAGAAAUAUCAGACUAUAAUUCAAAAUUCAAAUGUCAUUAACACCAAGUCGUUCUUCCAUUUCAUUCUGUCUAGAAGUGCAUGUGCUAUGUUAAUUUCCACAGAAAGUAUAGAGUAUAACCUCGAAUAUUUAGUUCUACUUGACCAAACCUGUUUCCAACAACCAACUAACG
rnacentral:lncRNA from 1 species